GCCUGCCUGCAGCGGCAGCCUGCACCAGUGGAGGUUGCUGUGGUAGGGCGGGCGGGUUAUUGCUGGCUUCCCAGAAGCAUGUGUCUGCCUGCAUUGGGUUAAUCCUCCAGAAGCAGGUGAGCCACUGACUAACGCACAUUGUGCUGUUAGCGAUUCCACUGUGCGUGUGACAGCGGCUAACCUGCUUUUCGGACAUCGCUAUAUCUACUCCAUCACCCCGCCCCAGGAAGUGGCAAUGCUAGACCCUGGGAAUGGCUCCUAGUUCCCAACAAAACUUUACGGAGCUUGGCAACAGCCCCUGUUAAGUUCGUGGACCUGCGCUUUUUUGGAAUCUUCUGAAGAGUUCGUAGGAAGCUUGAACGCCUUUUUUUCCCUGGGGAUACAUGAAAGACUUGCAGCAAGAAGGAAAAAACAACUGCCUUUGUUAAAAUAAGUUAAUGGGAUGUAAUCGAUGCAUGCAUGUGCCAUUUGGACCACCUGUACUCGUGUUUAGCAUCGUGUUUAGUGAGCAAUGUCUUGGUGCAGGAGCAUUAAGGGACUUAAUGCUUGUGGGCCCUACUGCAGAAAGGAUCCAGGAAGUCGUGAGCAACUUGCCCUGAGCUAGGGGUGCCAAGCCAAAUGCAAAGGAUUCAUGGGAAGGUUGCAAAUGGAAGGACAUGCUGAUGAAAAUGAGCUCCAUCCCUCCCCUUUAUCCCACCCUGUCCUUUCCAAAAAGUAAUGGUAAUAGACAUUGAGCCAAAUUAGAGAGAAGCUCUUUAUCCAGCCAGUGAAGGCUUGGUACCCAGUCAAUGACUAACUGAACUACUGUCAAGGGUGUGUUAAUAGAAAAAACUAUGCAUGGCAUUGCCCUGGCAGUAGAACGUCCCCUGAAUUCAAUAGGAAGGUGGAAUGGACCAGCUGGAGUACAGUGCGCCUGGACAACACAGUAACACUCACUAACAAGGUAUCUGGCAUAGCUGAACACUCAAGUCAUCAAGGUUUUAUGCUAUCCACACUAUGAGGUACUACCCUCCCACCCCCACUGAGGAAUCCAAAGCAUAGCCCUCUUCCUUUUGCUGCAGCAUAGCAGACAGGAUGAGGAGGACAGCCCACAUCCACACAUACCUCUAAGUCCACCAACCUACCCUUUCUCUUUUCUGCCACUCUCCAAUAUGUGCUGCAUGCUUUAUUUAAAUAAAGUGGU